rnacentral:rRNA from 1 species
GAUGAACGCUGGCGGCGUGCCUAAUACAUGCAAGUCGAGCGAACAGAUGAGGAGCUUGCUCCUCUGACGUCAGCGGCGGACGGGUGAGUAACACGUGGAUAACCUACCUAUAAGACUGGGAUAACUUCGGGAAACCGGAGCUAAUACCGGAUAAUAUAUUGAACCGCAUGGUUCAAUAGUGAAAGACGGUUUUGCUGUCACUUAUAGAUGGAUCCGCGCCGCAUUAGCUAGUUGGUAAGGUAACGGCUUACCAAGGCAACGAUGCGUAGCCGACCUGAGAGGGUGAUCGGCCACACUGGAAGUGAGACACGGUCCCGACUCCUACGGGAGGCCGCAGUAGGGAAUCUUACGCGAUGGGGGAAUGCCUGACGGAGCAAAGCGGCGUGAGUGAUGAAGGUCUUCGGAUCGGAAAACUCUGUUAUUAGGGAGGUACAAAUGUGUAAGUAACUGUGCACAUAUUGACGGUACCGAGUCAGAAAGCCACGGCUAACUACGUG